ensembl:misc_RNA 7SK 7SK RNA
GGAUGUGGCGGUGAUCUGGCUGUAUUACCCAGCACCCCACUAAACACAAGGAUAACCUGGCUGACCUGACUAGUGAGGUGGGUGUCCCCUUUCUCCCUCACCACUCCCUAAGUGCUCAGUGAGGAUGACCUUCCUCCCUCCAUAGAUGACUGUUCUUCAGUCAAGAGUAUACAAUGGCUACAAGCUCCCAAAGUCAACCAAACAACACAGUUACACUAUCAUAAUGAACGCAUGUAGGAAUAAGUUUCUUUUA